rnacentral:rRNA from 1 species
UCAGAUUGAACGCUGGCGGCAGGCCUAACACAUGCAAGUCGAGCGGUAACAUCUCUAGCUUGCUAGAAGAUGACGAGCGGCGGACGGGUGAGUAAUACUUGGGGAUCUGCCUGAUGGCGGGGGACAACCACUGGAAACGGUGGCUAAUACCGCAUAAUGCCUACGGGCCAAAGUGUGGGACCUUCGGGCCACAUGCCAUCAGAUGAACCCAAGCGAGAUUAGCUAGUUGGUGAGGUAACGGCUCACCAAGGCGACGAUCUCUAGCUGGUCUGAGAGGAUGAUCAGCCACACUGGGACUGAGACACGGCCCAGACUCCUACGGGAGGCAGCAGUGGGGAAUAUUGGACAAUGGGCGCAAGCCUGAUCCAGCCAUGCCGCGUGUGUGAAGAAGGCCUUCGGGUUGUAAAGCACUUUCAGUGGUGAGGAAGGCGUUGUAGUUAAUAGCUGCAACGAUUGACGUUAGCCACAGAAGAAGCACCGGCUAACUCCGUGCCAGCAGCCGCGGUAAUACGGAGGGUGCGAGCGUUAAUCGGAAUUACUGGGCGUAAAGCGCACGUAGGCGGUUUGUUAAGCAAGAUGUGAAAGCCCAGGGCUCAACCUUGGAAUUGCAUUUUGAACUGGCAAGCUAGAGUUUUGAAGAGGGUGGUAGAAUUUCCAGUGUAGCGGUGAAAUGCGUAGAU